rnacentral:rRNA from 1 species
GAUGAACGCUGGCGGCGUGCCUAAUACAUGCAAGUCGAGCGAACAGACGAGGAGCUUGCUCCUCUGACGUUAGCGGCGGACGGGUGAGUAACACGUGGAUAACCUACCUAUAAGACUGGGAUAACUUCGGGAAACCGGAGCUAAUACCGGAUAAUAUAUUGAACCGCAUGGUUCAAUAGUGAAAGACGGUUUUGCUGUCACUUAUAGAUGGAUCCGCGCCGCAUUAGCUAGUUGGUAAGGUAACGGCUUACCAAGGCAACGAUGCGUAGCCGACCUGAGAGGGUGAUCGGCCACACUGGAACUGAGACACGGUCCAGACUCCUACGGGAGGCAGCAGUAGGGAAUCUUCAGCAAUGGGCGAAAGCAUGAAGGAGCAACGACGCGUGAGUGAUGAAGGUCUUCGGAUCGUAAAACUCUGUUAUUAGGGAAGAACAAAUGUGUAAGUAACUAUGCACGUCUUGACGGUACCUAAUCAGAAAGCCACGGCUAACUACGUG